rnacentral:rRNA from 1 species
AGGAUGAACGCUGGCGGCGGUGCCUAACACAUGCAAGUCGAACGGUUAAACCGGCUCGGCCGGAUAUAGAGUGGCGAACGGGUGAGUAACACGUGACCAACCUGCCCCCCGCUCCGGGAUAACCCAGGGAAACCUGCGCUAAUACCGGACGAUGCCGCAAGGGCGCAUGCCCCUCGCGGCCGAAGCCCAGGCGGCGGGGGAUGGGGUCGCGGCCCAUUAGGUAGACGGCGGGGUAACGGCCCACCGUGCCCGCGAUGGGUAGCCGGGCUGAGAGGCUGAUCGGCCACAUUGGGACUGAGAUACGGCCCAGACUCCUACGGGAGGCAGCAGUGGGGAAUUUUGCGCAAUGGGGGGCCAACCCUGACGCAGCAACGCCGCGUGCGGGACGAAGGCCUUCGGGUUGUAAACCGCUUUCAGCGGGGACGAUUAUGACGGUACCCGCAGAAGAAGCUCCGGCUAACUACGUGCCAGCAGCCGC